AUGGCCUUCGCUGGCGUAUCUCUCAUCGCCGACGGCAGGCUGUGCGCCUCCACCGAGUCUGUCUUCGACUCCGGCGCCGACAGCGGAUACCACUUGCUCGUUGUUGAAGGCUACUCGCGCACCAAAGAGACAACUCCCAACAGGAAGUGGAUCCUGUCUCGUCCUUUCAUUGUUGGAGGCUGUCGCUGGACGGUCGAGUACUACCCUAAUGGUUAUGGCAGUGGUGACCAAGACUUCAUCUCGGUUUUCCUUGAACUCGACGAAUCUGUCAGGAACGAAGUUCAGGCUCACGUUGCCUUCAGUUUCAUUGACCAACCUGAGUUGCGAGUGUCAAAGCUCAUCCGUCAAAACCAACCAUGUUACUUCCAUGAUCACUGCUGUAAUGUUGAUGAACAGCCAGCAAGAUUUGUGACAAAGGAGGCUUUCGAAAGAUCAAGCCAUCUCAAGAAUGACAGCUUCGUCAUACGGUGUGAUGUCAUUGUCAAGGACGACGAAGAUGAUGAGGACUAUUAUGAAGAGGAGGAGCAUGAGCGUGCUCGUCCGUUCAUCAAAUUGCCGCCGUCCGACUUGCCAAGCAAUUUUAGCGAUCUGCUCCUAAGCAAGGAGGGUGCCGACAUUACGUUCGAGGUUGGCAGCAAGAAGUUGGCUGCACACCGGUGCGUGCUUGCAGCCCGAUCUACCGUCUUCAAGAAACAGCUCUUUGGCACCAUGAGUGAGGGCGCUGUUACACCAGGUGUCGUGAAGAUAGAUGGCAUCGAAGCAAAUGUCUUUGCUGGAUUGCUUACUUUCAUCUACACUGAUGGAAUGCCUGACUUUGAUGAUGACAAAGGUCAAAAGCAUGCAACAUGGCUGCUGCAGUUGCUUGAAGCUGCGGAAAGUUAUGAUCUCCAAAAGUUAAAGUUGGUCUGUGAAGAGAAGUUGGCCAAUCUGAUAUGCGAGGACAGGGUUGCAGGCAUUAUUCUUGCCGCUGAGUGGAGACGCUGCCGCUGGUUGAAGGAGGCCUGCUUGGAGUUCAUCAAAACUCACACGAGUUUGCACAAUGCUGUUACAGCGGAUGCCCUGGAGCAGAUAAUCAGGACCUAUGUAUCACCCUAA
rnacentral:rRNA from 1 species